UACAGAGGUCCCGAGCGUUGUUCGGAUUUACUGGGCGUAAAGGGCGCGUAGGCGGCGCUGCGUGUCGGAUGUGAAAGCUCCGGGCUCAACCCGGAAAGUGCGUCCGAAACUGCAGCGCUGGAGUCCGGGAGAGGUGGCCGGAAUGCAGGGUGUAGCGGUGAAAUGCGUUGAUAUCCUGCAGAACACCGGAGGCGAAGGCGGGCCACUGGAACGGUACUGACGCUGAGGCGCGAAAGUCGGGGGAGCAAAC
rnacentral:rRNA from 1 species